CUGCCUGCCCUACCCCUCCCGAGUCCUUCCAGCUGCUGCUCUGUGAUCACUCACCCCAUGACUCCGCUGCCUGCCCUACCCCUCCCCGAGUCCUUCCAGCUGCUGCUCUGUGAUCACUCACCCCAUGACUCCGCUGCCUGCCCUACCCCUCCCCGAGUCCUUCCAGCUGCUGCUCUGUGAUCACUCUCCCCAUGACUCCGCUGCCUUCCAGUCCUUCCAGCUGCUGCUCUGUGAUCACUCACCCCAUGACUCCGCUGCCUGCCCUACCCCUCCCCGAGUCCUUCCAGCUGCUGCUCUGUGAUCACUCUCCCCAUGACUCCGCUGCCUGCCCUACCCCUCCCCGAGUCCUUCCAGCUGCUGCUCUGUGAUCACUCACCCCAUAACUCCGCUGCCUGCCCUACCCCUCCCCGAGUCCUUCCAGCUGCUGCUCUGUGAUCACUCACCCCAUGACUCCGCUGCCACUUGUUCAAGCAAAUGUAGUUCUUUGUCUUUUGUAACAGAAGGUAAACAUAAGCACGACGUAACAGGCAGUCUAGAGUUUUCAUGUUCUUUUGUCAGGAGUGGAGUUAGCCUACUAGAUGUACACAACAUAUCAACAAGCUAGACACGAACACACAGUCCAUAGCGAUGUAAUGUGCAAACAGAGUUCUCAGGGUGUGUACAGAUUUUGGGCUGGGUAAAACCCCUCGUCUCAUCCUUUUUGGUAAAGCGUAUAUAGUAAAAAGAGAACACGUGCAGAAUGUGAUUUGGAUCCUUAGCUUUGUGAAAGAAGUUCCCGGAGGGGCGGGGCAGGGGCGAAAACUCAGUAUUCGUAACCUCAGACAUAAUUUAAUGGAGGGUCAGAAAUGCACGUAUAAUAAUUGCCAUGAUGUUGGCUUCAGGGACUUGGAGAGAGAAAACAGCUGGACAAACAUUCCUUCUGGAAAAUAGUUAGUAAUAACAUCGUAUUAAAUAGUUGAUACACUACAUGUGACAGGACACUUGCAAUCUGAAAUGACAUUCUAGUGGAGUUGACCGUGUGGUUACUGGACAGUAUACUGUGGUCCUAUCUCUGCAGUGCAGACUGACCAGGCUGGGCACAUCCAAUCAACACCUCUGAUCUCCAGCACAAUGUGUACAGAGUUGGUUAAUCUGAUGUACUGGCCAUAGUUGUUUGCAGAAGCAGACGCUGAUUGCAGAAGCAGACGCUGUGUCCUCUCAUUACAAGCCAAACGAUGAGGCACAGUGUGUACAGUAGGAAGACUCUUCUCUCACUGUUCACCAGAUAGUGUGUGUUCAGUGUGUAAUGGUCUGUACAUAAUACCAAGUACUAUUUCACUCUGACUUCCAGGUACAGGUCUCUAGGGGAAUAAUACGACUUGUUGUAGUCCUUGUCAGAUCUACUUUAUAUAUAUGAAGCCUCAAUGGCUUGACUGUCUCUAAACACACACGUUAACAUGUUUUACCUUCCACAAAUAAAAUAUUUGUAUCUUUCUUUUAUGAUGUUUAUUUUGGGCACACAUCAGCAUGUCAGGAUCUUAUGCAGCGCUAUGCUGUGGAAUUACCAAAUGGACAUCUAAUAUAGAACCGACACAAUUAUCUCUCAUUGUGGAAUAGAAUUUAGGGAUGCAUUUCAUUUGAUGACAUUAGGUUUCAUUAGGUUGAUCUGGAACAUGAUGAGGCCUACUGUACGCCACCCUAGAUGCAGACUCCACCUCGUGGUUCCAACUUCCUCAAGAUGGCAGUGGAGAUUCUGGAUAUUUGGGCUUUACACAUCAAUCUCAGCUUAUGCCUGCCCAUAACAUAACCACACCGUCACCAUGGGACACUCUGUUCACAACAUUGACAUCAGCAAACCACUCUCCCACAUGACGCCAUACACCUGGUCUGCGGUUUUGAGGCUGGUUGGACAUACUGCCAAAUUCUCUAAAACAACAUUGGAAGCGGCUUAUGGUAGAGAAAUUAAUAUUGAAUUCUUUGUCAUGAGCUCUGGUGGAAACUCCUGCAGUCAGCAUGCCAAUUGCAUGCUCCCUCAACUUGAGACAUCUCUGUGGCAUUGUGUUGUGUGACAGAUUUUAGUGGCCUUUUAUUAAGGUGCACCUGUGUAAUUAUCAUGCCUUUUUAAUCAGCUUCUUAAUAUACCACAUCUGUCAGAUGGAUGGAUUAUUGUGGUAAAUUAGAAAUGUUCACUAACAGGGAUGUAAACAAAUGUGUUCACAAAAUUUGAGAGAAAUAAGCUUUUUGUGCAUAUGGAACAUUUCUGGGAUCUUUUAUUUCAGCUCAUGAAACAUGGGACCAACACUACACAUGUUGCGUUCAUAUUUUUUGUUCAGUGCAGUAGAAUUUAUGACAGAAGUAGAAGAUAUUGAGAAUCACCACAGGCAACACAUUUGUUGUAGUUUAUUAUUCUUGGAAUGGAAAUUGCGCUCUGUUGCUCUCCAAGGCUGUGUAGAGUAGACAUUCCAAAAUCACCUCGGGCUAAAUUAAAGGAAAAAUUGGUUUAGAUUUUUGCAUGUUGACGGGGACUUCAUAGCCUACAAUGUUAGCUGGCCUAUGUUUAUAGUUUUGUCAGAUACUCAGACUCAAUAAUUGAUUGAAAUAAAAAUACACAGUCGAUGGUCUAUAUUGUUGAUUAUUGAUAGGCUAUUUCAGAGAUAUUUUGAGAACAACAAUUGCUGUGAGAAAAAACAAACUGAUGUGCCUUGAUUGUGUAAUCCCCAACCAAAAAUAAGUUAUGCGAGAGUAGCCUAUAAAUGGCACGUGGAAUAUCAAAUAUAAAUUUAUUUAGAUAAGUAAAUGUUGAAGAGGUAAAAUAAAGCUAUUUAAAUGAACGAAUUAACCUUUGUCAAGUGAGAGCUCCAUGGAGAAGCUGUUGCGCACGCUGUUGUUGCGCACGCGAACCCAGGCAAAGAAGGGAGGGCAGAGCGAGCCAUGGUGAGCCAAUAAAAAGGCACCGGAGUCCUGCUAACCGUCGGCUUUGCUCGAGACAGUGUAAAACGGGACCAAUAUUUCUGUCGGACGCGUACUGUCUUCGAGUGUGCAAAGGACACACCAUCUCAUUGACUGCGCCUGUCCCUACAUAGGAAGACGGUAAUGUGUGUUUUUGCUAAACUUUUGUUGUCUUUUUGUGUCCUUUACGUUCUUUGUUUGUUUUAUUUGGCUCAGUACUUUUCUCAUGAAAAAUAGGCUUAUAGACUGAGGACUUUAGCCUAAACCUAAUGUGCAUUCCAGGUUUAUAUUACUAAUGUGUCACUGCAUUGUAUGUGUGCAGAAAAUAUGCUUGACUUCUGAUGCGAGGGUAUAAAAACUGCAACGUGAAUGCAUUAUACAUUUGGUAAUGCGCAUUGUCCACCUUCAACGCGCAGAUGCACACGAGCGUUUUUUUUGGCGGCCGUGCCUCUAAAAGGCACUUUUACAAUGAUUAAACUUACGCGUAAAAUGCUAAUCUCUUGUGAAAAAUCCUCAUGUUGUGAAAGCACAGAGCCCUGUCUGUGGUUUAUAUGGAUUUGAUUGGUCGUUCCCGUGUUUUCCUCGCAUGGAGAGCAGUAACGAUAGCAGUGCCAGUGCAGAUGCAUACAGCUGUUCCGCAGCUCUGGGUGAGACACCCUGUCACUAUCUACCCCACCAGCUGCUCAACAGCUGGGCAAUGACUUGUCUUUUUUUUUUAAACAUACUAAAUGUUGCGCAUAGACUAAUUCAGUCUCUAUUUUACAUGAAAAACUGAUUUUGAAAUGAAAGCUCUUAUCUCAGGAUCUCAAUCCCCCCCCAGACCCAGAGAGUCCAAUGUAACCUACUGUGGGGACCUGUUUUAUACACACACACACACUGGGAACCGAAAUCGUCCCUGGCAUUUCUAACACAUGCCAGGACAUUAUUAGCCAGAUAAUGAUCAUUUUGCGCAAAGAAAACCCAGGUUAGACAGGCUCACUGAGUAAGAAAUGGACCAGACCACAUGCACACAAAUGCAAUAGCCAGAUAAUCCAUACAACCAAUAAGAUUAGCCACCUACAAAUUGUUUUCUGUUGUCAUUUCUCCUACUACAUUUUGUAAGCACAAUCAAUGACACUCUGCUAUUUUUACUCAGUUAAUUGCAAUAUUUGUCAACAACAGUUAGAAAUUACACCAUCACUGUAGAACUAUCAUCACAUUGUGAUAAUAAUUGCCAUAUGUUCUGUUCUGUAAUUAUAACCUGCUCAGACUAUCCCCUAUUUGCAUAAUUAUUUCUACAGUUUGAUUGGCAUGCAGCUUUCCUGCCUGUCUUACAGAGUAGGAGAGAAGCAUUGUUGUGCCUAUGUCCCCAUUGUGCUGUUUAAUACCAUCCUCAAUCAGUCGGGUAUCGGAUGGCACAAUGCCUACUGUGCCAGGGAACAGGACCCGUCUCUCCUGUUGUCACCCAAACUCCCUCUGUGGUAGAAAAGGAGAAUAAUUGUUUACUCAAAAUCAUCCUGUAUGAAUGCUAUUUGGUACAUGCAAAACAGGAAGGAACUUCCCUUUGUAUUUGGAAAGCUUGUGUUUAGUUUUCAAAUAGAUCUCAGAAAUGAUUAGGACAAAUUCACUUUUAGAAUUAGGGGGAUCUUGAUGUUCAUUUUCUAAAGCUGCCUUCAUGUCUAGACUUUGGUCUUGUGUUUUAUAAAUAUCUUAGUCAGAUGAAGACAGAAACUGAGGAGUUGUCAAUGGUUCCAUUUUACUCUCAUCAUUCUGAUGUAGAAAGAUUCAGACCUACCUGGUCUUUAUAGUAUUUCUAAAUGUUGUGUUCAGACUGUUCCAACCUAUUUCAUGGUGACAUUAGAUGUAAGACUCAACCGAAGUGUGAGAGGUAUUUCUGUUUUAGUUUUGUUUUUACAACUUUGCAAAAAUUUCUGAAAAACCUGUGUUUGCUUUGUCAUUAUGAGAUAUUGUGUGUAGAUUGAUGAGUAAAA
ensembl:lncRNA